rnacentral:rRNA from 1 species
AUGUCGUCGUCCAGACGGUGGUCCUCCUCCCCCUCCUCCGGCACGGACCACCUGCCCGGCCGCUCUGUCAUCCCUGCCGCGGCGCUCUCGCCCUUGCGCCACAGCGCCCGCCGCUCCGCCUCCCGCUCCGACACGGCCGCCCCAUCAGGAGCCCCCGCCGCCCCCGCUCGCAGCAUGUGGCCUUCCUCCUCUGACGGCAAGAUCAAGAAGCCGUCCCCGUCGCCCUUGACCCCCGCGCCGCCCUCGGUGGCCACCCUCGCCGACCACCUGACCAACGACGCCAUGGACAGCGCCAACGCCGUUCCCGUGGCGGCGCCGUCGCUGCAGUCGCUCUCCCGCCAGCGCAGCUGCACCGAGCUCCCGCGCUUCGCGGAGGCCGACGCCGACGCCGAGGAGAGAAAGAUCGGCAGGUCGUCCGGGAAGGGCGCCGGCCACGCCUUCGGCCGCUCCAUGCGCUUCCUGCCGUCGUCCAAGCCCGCUGCCGUCACGCUCACCCCGGGCCGCGUCGCGCCGUCGGACCUCCGCAGGCUCGCCGCUGGCUACUCUCUGGACGCCCGCGCCGACGUCGCGAGCUCCGGGUCCGAGUGCAGCGACGCCUCCAGGGGGUCCAGCGCAAAGUCGGCGAUCCCCAAACCCAACUCGCCGAUGAUCGCCCGUACGAGCUCCGUCCGGCUGCUCGGCUCGAGCAACUCGCAGUGGGCGCUCUCGCCGGGGCGCCGGAGUAGCUCGCCCGCCAAGACGCUGGCGACCGUGUCGGAGUCCAAGGGGAAGAAGAGCCUGUUGAGCAUGGGGUGGGGACAUCUGUUUAACAGGAAGAAGUCCGGCGGAGCGGAUAACUCCAUUCCUGCGAUCCCGGCCACCGUGCCGUCGUCGCCGGUGUCACGCAGCAACGGGGGAAUAGGGGAGACCGGACACCAGAUGAGGAUGAUGCAUUGCCGCUUCUUGCAGUGGCGCUUCAUGAACGCCAAGGCAGACGCCGCGUGCAAGAGCAAGGCGGCCAACGCCGAGGUUCAGUUGAUGGGUACAUGGGCCCGGGUGUCGGAGCUAAGAGGAAAGGUAGCAAGGAAGCAAGCGCAACUCGAGAAGGGGAAGUUGAAGUUUAGGUUGAAUGAGAUACUCUCUUUGCAGAUGAGGGAUUUAGAGAAUUGGGGGCAGCUGGAGAGCAAGCAUUCCUUCGCUCUGGAGUCCACAGUUGAGUGUGCCAAAUCAGCCAUUUGCAGGCUUCCUCUUACAAAUGGUGCAAAGGCCUCCCUUCCGGCAAUGGCAUCCAUUCUCGAGCAGAUGUUCGAGCUCACAAUGACGGCCAGGAUUUCAGUUCGCUCCUUUAGCCCUAUGGCUCAAGAUACGACCGUGGUGAUCUCGAAGCUGAGUCGCGUGGCUAGUGAGGAGCGAGCUCUGUUACAGGAGUGUCACGAGUUGCUUGGACGGCUCUCUGCACUGCAGAUUGAAGAACAGAGUUUGCGUUGCCAUAUGGUGCAAUCGUCGUCUUUGAAUCUUGUGAAUGUGAAUUAG